AGCCGGUUCGUCUAAUGGUAAGACGCGGGGCCGAUUACCUCGCUAUCUGGGUUCGAGUCCUAGGCUGGCUACCA
rnacentral:tRNA from 1 species